UCACGGUACUUAUCUAUCCCAAAUUCAUGUAUUUGGUUUUGAUGUUAUAUUUGUUAUUCCCAUAGGAUUUUGUCUAAUGCUUAAUCCGUUUCUGUGUGUGUUACAUUUUAAUGUUGUGUCGGUGUUCUCCUCUUAUAUUUGAUGCGUUUCCCUCAGUUUUAGUUUGUUACCCCGAUUUUGUUUUUUGUCCAUGGAUUUAUGAGUUUUGAACAGCGGUAUACUACUGUUGCCUUUAUUUAUCA
rnacentral:lncRNA from 1 species